rnacentral:lncRNA from 1 species
UUGCUAAUCAACGAAGUAUGAUAACCCAAUAUAAAAACUCAGCGUUGCCGGUUAGUACUACAGUAGCAGAUAGCCUCCGUCUCACCACACGCUUUGUCUCAACGACUAAAUCCGGUAGCCAGGAGGCAACGACCGACUAAUCAAUUCGAGGAAAACUUAGGGUGGCAGGCAGGGAGAAAACGUUGACUUUGCUGUACGUAUGAGAGAAUGAAUGAAUGAUCGAGCGACAAUGCGACAGCAUGGCACAACGCAAUUGCGAUGGAAUUUAGAUGGAAUGGUUGAAUUGCUUUCGGUCCGUGACUCUCCGUGUCGCCUGGAGAUUUCCGCGUGUACACUUCCCAGCCGCCAAAGCUGAACCAAACUUUACACUACAAGAUCUAGAUACGGUCUGUCCAUCGCUUUGAUCAUCCGAUCGCUCUCCGUCAAGGCGCACGGUUUGAAGCUCAGCCCUGGACGGCGACGUUCUGUCGUUCUUAAUUCUCUGGACUCUAGAGCAUGCGCCAGUAGAUGCUAAUGCAAGUCACUGCGGCCCGGCCCAGAUUAAUUGAGCAAGCCCAAGAGGAGUCGCAGUGGCUUUUGGACAAGGAGAGUCGGGGUUUCUUUUUUUUUUUUCGAGAAGGCCAACCGGGGUUUCUUCUCUGCACAAGUGUUCUUGUCAUUUUUCUAAAAAAAAUGUUCCUGUCAAUAAUAAAAAGUGUUCUUGUCAUUUCCUCGAAAGUCGAAACAGUGAUGUUGUACCACGUGGCACAAUACAUAUAUAGAUGAACUGAUUAGGAGAGUCGAAACAUGUACUUCAUAAAAAUGUGGGCCACGAGGCGACGUCCUAGGGGGUUCACCCUAAACUGCCUCGACCAUGGGUGCACUCGCGGCCACCAUCUUUGCACGGUAUCUUCACCGAUUCAUGUAUAUCUUGUUAGAGUGAUCUUCUACCGUGUAGGCCCAAAGGCCCACCGGGCCUAGAUCCGACGCGCCCUGAUCGGGGGCGCCCAAUCCAAUAUGAUUGGCGGGCCCCUAUCGCGCUGCGCUAUAUAAUGAGGUGGAGGGUCAGGGCACGCACUACGAGGUUCGUCUGCGUUGCCACCAACCCCACCGAACACACCCUACCGAUCUACGGCUUUGCGCAGAGGUGACGGGAAGCAACCGCCACCGCCGUCACCACCUAGCUCACGCCGCUGCUCGUCUUCGCCAUAGCCAUGGCCGCACCUUCGGGAUCUUCUAGCCAAAGCGAAGGUAGUGCUCUCCCUCUCCCUUUUAUCCCAUACCUGAACCGAAAUCCAUUCACAGAAAUACUUCUCCUUUUGUACUGAUCACCACCUAGAGAUAUCUAGGAUCUAACAUUGGUAUCAGAGCUUGUUAAGAGUUGUAGAUCGGGAUAGAAAAAGAAAGGAAAAGAAAGCAAGAAAAAAAAGCCCUAACCCUAAAAGCUCACCGGAGGGUGGCCGCUGGUUGGCCAUGGCGUCGCCGGUCGCCCUCGCCCAGACAAUGGCACGGCCACCGGCCGCUUGACGGUGACGCGCGCACCAUCGGGUGCACGCGCACGCCGGCAA